GUUUUUUCAGUUUUCUACAUGUGGUGGAUUCAAAGCUUGCACCGCUACGGGUUUGCACUUUCCUCUUGUACAUUUGUCUGCUAAGUGUUGGUUUGCUACAUGUGGUGGAUUCCAAGCUUGCGCCACUAAGGUCUUUCAAAGAAUUGGUUGCAAUGUGUCUGGUGAAAGAUCCAGGAAAGAGGAGGAAUUUAUUGAAACACACCUUUUUCAAG